rnacentral:rRNA from 1 species
AACGAACGCUGGCGGCGUGCCUAAUACAUGCAAGUCGAACGCAGUGGGGACGGGUGAGUAACACGUGGGUAACCUCCCAUCAGAGGGGAUAACACUUGGAAACAGGUGCUAAACCGAUACUGAUGGAUGGACCAGCUGUGCAGUAGCUAGUUGGUGAGGUAACGUCUCACCAAGGCCACGAUGCAUAGCCAGUCUGAGAGGGUGAUCGGCCAAACUGGGACAGAGAGACGGCCCAGACUCCGACGGGAGGCAUCAGUAGGGAAUCUGCGGCAAUGGACGAAAGUCUGACCGAGCAACGCCGCGUGAGUGAAGAAGGCUUUCGGAUCGUAAAACUCUGUGGUUAGAUAAGCGGUAUCUAACCAGAAAGCCACGGCUAACUACGUGCCAGCCGCCGCGGUAAUUC